UUGUGGUAAAAUGUCAGCUUUACCAUCUUAACCAUUUUUGAAUCUACAGUUCAGUAAUGUUCAGUGCGUUCACGUUGUUGGGCGACCAAUUUCCAGCACUCUUUUCCUCUUGUAAAACUGAGACUCUGUACCCAUUGAUGAAUAACUCCCACUCACCCACCCGACCUCACCCCACAGCAACCACAUCCUACUUCGUCUCUAUGAAAUUUGCCUCCUCUAGGUACAUCAUAGGAGGGAAAUCAUACAGUUUUUGUCUUUUUGUGACUGGCUUAUUUCCCUUAGCAUAAUGUCCUCAAGGUCUUUAUUGUAGCAGGUGUCAGAAUUUCCUCCCUUUUCAAGGCUGAAUAAUAUUCCCCUGUAUGUGUACAUCACAUUUUGUUCAUCCAUCCACCUGUCAGCGGACACUUGGGUUGCCUCUGCCUUUUGGCUAUUGUGAAUAAUGCUGCUAUGAACACGGGUGUACUAACAUCUCUUUGAGAUCUUUUGGGUGUAUACUCAGAAGUGGAAUUGCUGGAUCACAUAUGAAAUUUAAAAUUUUUUUAACUUUAAACUUUCACACGCACAAAAGUAGAGAGAACAGCAUGAUAAACCUUCAUAUCCCCAUGGCCCAGAUUCAACAAUGAUCAGCUCAGGGCCAAUCUCAUUUUUUUGUUUAUAUGUUUGUUUUAACUCUCGAUUGAAGUAUAAUAUACACACAAGAACGUCAACCUGAGCCCAUCGAUAACGAGCCACCAGGUGGAGAAACAAGUCGGAUCUGGCGUCUCGCGCCCCGAGGCUGAUUACUAUCCUUACUUCUCGCUUCUCACAUCGCUGCCGGGUUCUUCUUUCCUGAACUGUAUUAAACGGAGUCACACUGUGCUUAGUCCUCCGUGUCUGGCUUAUUUCCCUUAACCUUAGGCUGCUGCAGUCCAUCCACAUUGUUGCAAGUGGCUGAAGCUUCUCACUGCUGCACACUAUUGAUUGAUCUGUCUGCCGGGGGCAGACUCUGGUUGGUUCCUGGUUUGAGCCUGUGAUACAUAAAGCUGCAACGAACAUUCUGAAGCUGGGGGCCAACUUGCUUUAACCAUACUGAGUUGUCCGUUUCCAAAAGUAGUCGGAUAAUGUGUUACCAAAGCCCAUGGUACAGAUGACAUCUCUGAUGACGGGCGGGUCGCCACGGUAACGGGCAAGUCACUUCUUGUCCAGUUCAGGCCGGUUAAGAGCACCAACUCAUCAACUGGGCCUGCGAGAAAUGUCCAAUAGCUGACCCUUUGACUUCAAGGGGGCCGGAAACUCCACCCUCGGAUCAUGGUAACACCGCCAUUUUGUGAACAUGCAUCCUAUGAAGAGCCAUGAAGCUUCACUACACUUGCGCAGACCAUCAAGGGACCUCACUGCUCCUCAUCUCCAAUCAUCUAUCCCCUCACUUCAGACCACCCUGCCCCUUCAUCCCAUAAAUAUCCCUGAAUCCCCAUUUUUGGGGAGGUGGAUUUGAGACUUGUUCUUUCGUCUCCUCGCUGGGCUGCCUUGGGAAUAAACACAUUCUCUGCUGCAAACUCGUCAUCUCGGUGACUGGCCUCCCAGGUGGUGGGCAAAACGAGUCUGGUUUGGUAACAAUUCUAGUAUCUAUUUUUACAUGCACACAUUUCUUACACUGAGGCGUGCAAUUACACAUCACGGCGUAGGCGUCCAUUCACCUCUAGUAGGCACUGCCAAGCAUGGGGGUACCCUAUCUCCACUCCACCAGCCGUGGAGCAGAGCUCUGAUCAAUUGCUCCACAUUCUCAGUAACACUGGGUUUUUCUUGGUUUUUGUUUUGGGGUUUGUUUGGUUUUUCAGUCAUUCUGGUGGGUGCAUAGUGGUUUGAAUUUGCAUUUCCCUGAUGAUUAAGGGGGUUGAGCAACAUUUCAUGUGUUUAAUGCAAUUCACGGUCAAUCUAUUUUUAAUCUAUUCUUCCACCCCAUUCCCCACUGGAUUCUUUUAAAGCAAUUCCAGACAUCAUGCCAUUCCCUCCAAAAAUGCUUCAGUAUGGAUCUCUAAAAGAUAAAGACUCUCUGUUGCUUUUUUAACAAAGCCAUAAUCCCAUUGUUAUACUUAAGGAAUUAUCAAUUUCUUUUGUAAUAUAUGGAGUUACCUUUUAAUUACAUUUUCUCAACAGGCAGUUGCCCACAUGUGGUAAUGCUACUGGUUAUUAUACACUAGAGAUAUAAGAAACUCCAGCAGACCCCCUGUUAAGAAGCUUCACUUGGUCUGUUAUUUUGGAUUUUCUGGCUCGACAAUCCCAUGGGCUGCAGCUUCCCCCCGAACAAAGUGCCCGUCUGCGGUCAAGUUCAACUUCCUGGAAUUGAAAUACAGCCACGCAGCCCUCUCCACUCCACUCCUGUGAACAGCGGCCCCUGGUAGGAGAGCUGGGGUGGGAGGACAAGCUGGCGGAAGAACCUCUGGUGCCCUUGGAAUUAUUUGUGCGGCUCACUUCCCACUGCCCUGAGGUUCAGGAAUUUUCUACUUCUGCAACCGGACUGGCAGGUUUUCCCCCAACUGCCCAAUUAUACCGCCAGCAAAGAGAUGCACCUGCGAGGCCCACUCAGCCCUUCCCUCGCCAUCCUUGUCGCUCCACCUCACAGAGUCGGCCCCUCCAUUUACAGCAAAUCAUUUCUCACACUGUUUACUAUCUUGAAAUGCUUAGAUGUUAAUAAAAUGUUAAUAAAUGCCCUAUGCAUAUGUAUAAUGUAAA
rnacentral:lncRNA from 1 species